AACCUAGCACACCUGCGGUGUGUACCUGCGGAAGGAUCAUUACAGAGUUGCAAAACUCCCUAAACCAUUGUGAACGUUACCUAAACCGUUGCUUCGGCGGGCGGCCCGGGUCCUUCCCGGCGCCCCUCGGCCCUCGCGGGCGCCCGCCGGAGGUAAACCAAACUAUUGCAUUGUAUGGCCUCUCUGAGUCUUCUGUACUGAAUAAGUCAAAACUUUUAACAACGGAUCUCAGAUCGGAAG
rnacentral:misc_RNA from 1 species